rnacentral:lncRNA from 1 species
UUAAAUACCACCAAAGGAGGAAACACUCAACGACCACAAAUAAUGUUCCUCCAAAUCAAAUAUCUUUGAUGCUGACUUCAAAUCUUAAUAUCAUUGUUGUCUAUGAUGAAACCCAGAUAGCACAAGCCUUACAACGAAACCCAGAUAGCACAAGCCUUACAACGAAACCCAGAUAGCACAAGCCUUACAACUGUUUUCACAAUUUAUUGUUGAAGAAAACAGAAACUCAUGACAGAUUAGAUUUUUAGUUUGGUUUCAAUACUUGGAUCGAUUGUGGCACAGGAAAAUGAGACAUAAUUGUCG